UACGUAGGGGGCAAGCGUUGUCCGGAUUUAUUGGGCGUAAAGAGCGUGUAGGCGGCCUGAAAGGUCAGCUGUGAAAACUCGAGGCUCAACCUCGAGACGUCGGUUGAAACCAUCUGGCUAGAGUCCGGAAGAGGAGUGUGGAAUUCCCGGUGUAGCGGUGAAAUGCGCAGAUAUCAGGAAGAACACCAAUGGCGAAGGCAGCUCGCUGGGACGGUACUGACGCUGAGACGCGAAAGCGUGGGGAGCAAACAGG
rnacentral:rRNA from 1 species